UACGAAGGGUGCAAGCGUUAAUCGGAAUUACUGGGCGUAAAGCGCGCGUAGGUGGUUCAGUAAGUUGAAUGUGAAAUCCCCGGGCUCAACCUGGGAACUGCAUCCAAAACUGCUGAGCUAGAGUACGGUAGAGGGUAGUGGAAUUUCCUGUGUAGCGGUGAAAUGCGUAGAUAUAGGAAGGAACACCAGUGGCGAAGGCGACUACCUGGACUGGUACUGACACUGAGGUGCGAAAGCGUGGGGAGCAAACAGG
rnacentral:rRNA from 1 species